rnacentral:sRNA from 12 species
AGCCUAAACCGCGCAGCAAUGCGUGGCAUGGCUCAAAAACCUUCGCAGUAAAAAGCUCCUAGUCAGAGCUCCUGCGAAGGUCACGUGCCGAAAGGUACGUGGGCAGUCGUAAGACUGUC